rnacentral:rRNA from 1 species
ACGCUCGACACCUAUGGAGGCAGCAGUGAGGAAUAUUGGUCAAUGGGCGCUAGCCUGAACCAGCCAAGUAGCGUGAAGGAUGAAGGCUCUAUGGGUCGUAAACUUCUUUUAUAUAAGAAUAAAGUGCAGUAUGUAUACUGUUUUGUAUGUAUUAUAUGAAUAAGGAUCGGCUAACUCCGUGCCAAUAGCCGCGGUAAUCUGAGCGGGCUGGCAAGGC